ensembl:lncRNA
GGAGACUGAGGUCUGCGUCGGGAGGCUGAGAGCGUCAGAGUCUUUUCCAGUGAGCCAGUUCUUCGCAUGAGGUUGCCAAAGUAUUGGAGCUUCAGCAUCAGUCCUUCCAAUGAAUAUUCAGGGUUGAUUUCCUUGAGGAUGGACUGAUUGGAUCUCCUUGCUGUCCAAGGGACUCUCAAGAGUCUUCUCCAGCAGCACAGUUCAAAAUCAUCAAUUAUUCAGCACUCAGCUUUCUUUACAGUUCAACUCUCACAUCCAAACAUGACUACUAGAAAAAACACAGAUUUGACUACACGGACCUUUGUCAUUUAUCCACGGAGACUUGGCAAAUCUCAGAGCCUCUAGACAAACAGAAAUCAAUCAGAAAUUUGUUGCAUGCAAACUCUUAGUUGCGACAUGUGGGAUCUAGUUGCCUGACCAGGGAUCGAACCUGGGCCUGCUGCACUGGGAGCAUGGAGUCUUCAGCCACUGGACCACCAGAGAAGACCCUGCCCUCGCUCUUGAUUUCCACUCUCUCCAAUCUCCCAUCCUUCUGCAUCUCCAGUCAACACGUGGUGGAAUCUCAUUCUUCUCCAAAAUCGAUUGCAUCUUUCUCCACUAUAUAGCUUUUGGUUUUUACGAUAAAAAUAAAACUCUGUUUACACUUUUUCAAAUUAACUGCCCUUCUUUUAGUUGCUGUGUUGAAUCCCAAGUAAUUGAUACGUCAUAAUUUAUAUAAUCAUCCUCCCACAGAGGGGUAUUGAAGUGAUUACUAGAUUUCAAUGUUCUAAAUAGAACAUCAAAAAAAUAUCUUAAUACAGAUUAUAUUUCUUCCUUUUAAAAACAUUUUUAUUGAGA